GGGUAAUUUUCCGCAAUGGGCGAAAGCCUGACGGAGCAAUACCGCGUGAGGGAAGAAGGCUCUUGGGUUGUAAACCUCUUUUCUUAGGGAAGAAAAAAAUGACGGUACCUAAGGAAUAAGCAUCGGCUAACUCCGUGCCAGCAGCCGCGGUAAUACGGAGGAUGCAAGCGUUAUCCGGAAUGAUUGGGCGUAAAGCGUCCGCAGGUGGCAAGUCAAGUUUGCGGUUAAAGGUUCUGGCUCAACCAGGGACAGGCCGUGAAAACUGACUAGCUAGAGUAUGGUAGGGGCAGAGGGAAUUCCCAGUGUAGCGGUGAAAUGCGUAGAGAUUGGGAAGAACACCGGUGGCGAAAGCGCUCUGCUAGGCCAAAACUGACACUGAGGGACGAAAGCUAGGGGAGCGAAUGGGAUUAGAUACCCCAGUAGUCCUAGCCGUAAACGAUGGAUACUAGGUGUAGCUUGUAUCGACCCAAGCUGUGCCGUAGCUAACGCGUUAAGUAUCC
rnacentral:rRNA from 1 species